GACGAACGCUGGCGGCGUGCUUAACACAUGCAAGUCAAGGGGGCCCAGCAAUGGGCAACCGGCGAACGGGUGCGUAACACGUGAGCAACCUACCGAACUGUGGGGGAUAGCCGGCCUAACGGCCGAGUAAUACCGCAUACGCUUUCAGUGAGGCAUUUCAUUGAAAGGAAACCUACGGGACAGAUCGAGGGGCUCGCGGCCUAUCAGCUAGUUGGCGAGGUAACGGCUCACCAAGGCAACGACGGGUAGCUGGUCUGAGAGGAUGGCCAGCCACAUUGGGACUGAGAUACGGCCCAGACUCCUACGGGAGGCAGCAGUGGGGAAUCUUGCGCAAUGGCCUAACGGCUGACGCAGCGACGCCGCGUGUGGGAUGAAGCUCUUCGGAGUGUAAACCACUGUUG
rnacentral:rRNA from 1 species